UCGGGAAUUUUGGGCAAUGGGGGAAACCCUGACCCAGCAACGCCGCGUGAAGGAUGAAGUAUUUCGGUAUGUAAACUUCGAAAGAAUAGGAAGAAUAAAUGACGGUACUAUUUAUAAGGUCCGGCUAACUACGUGCCAGCAGCCGCGGUAAUACGUAGGGACCAAGCGUUGUUCGGAUUUACUGGGCGUAAAGGGCGCGUAGGCGGCAUGACAAGUCACUUGUGAAAUCUUUGGGCUUAACCCAGAACGGCCAAGUGAUACUGUCGCGCUAGAGUGCAGAAGGGGCAAUCGGAAUUCUUGGUGUAGCGGUGAAAUGCGUAGAUAUCAAGAGGAACACCUGAGGUGAAGACGGGUUGCUGGGCUGACACUGACGCUGAGGCGCGAAAGCCAGGGGAGCAAACGGGAUUAGAUACCCAUGUAGUCCCUGAGCGGGCUGGCAAGGCGCAU
rnacentral:rRNA from 1 species